GAACCAUGUGAUGAAAUUGGAGUGUCUAAUUCUCACGACGGUCAUCUGAUACUCGCUGAUGCAUACAGAUCCAAUGUUUCUGAUGGUU